rnacentral:rRNA from 2 species
GGUAUCAGAAGUGCGAAUGCUGACAUAAGUAACGAUAAAGCGGGUGAAAAGCCCGCUCGCCGGAAGACCAAGGGUUCCUGUCCAACGUUAAUCGGGGCAGGGUGAGUCGACCCCUAAGGCGAGGCCGAAAGGCGUAGUCGAUGGGAAACGGGUUAAUAUUCCCGUACUUGGUGUUACUGCGAAGGGGGGACGGAGAAGGCUAUGUUGGCCGGGCGACGGUUGUCCCGGUUUAAGCGUGUAGGUGUGUGUUCCAGGUAAAUCCGGUUCACUUUAACACUGAGGCGUGAUGACGAGGCACUACGGUGCUGAAGCAACAAAUGCCCUGCUUCCAGGAAAAGCCUCUAAGCAUCAGGUAACAUCAAAUCGUACCCCAAACCGACACAGGUGGUCAGGUAGAGAAUACCAAGGCGCUUGAGAGAACUCGGGUGAAGGAACUAGGCAAAAUGGUGCCGUAACUUCGGGAGAAGGCACGCUGACAUGUAGGUGAAGUGAUUUACUCAUGGAGCUGAAGUCAGUCGAAGAUACCAGCUGGCUGCAACUGUUUAUUAAAAACACAGCACUGUGCAAACACGAAAGUGGACGUAUACGGUGUGACGCCUGCCCGGUGCCGGAAGGUUAAUUGAUGGGGUCAGCGCAAGCGAAGCUCCUGAUCGAAGCCCCGGUAAACGGCGGCCGUAACUAUAACGGUCCUAAGGUAGCGAAAUUCCUUGUCGGGUAAGUUCCGACCUGCACGAAUGGCGUAAUGAUGGCCAGGCUGUCUCCACCCGAGACUCAGUGAAAUUGAACUCGCUGUGAAGAUGCAGUGUACCCGCGGCAAGACGGAAAGACCCCGUGAACCUUUACUAUAGCUUGACACUGAACAUUGAGCCUUGAUGUGUAGGAUAGGUGGGAGGCUUUGAAGCGUGGACGCCAGUCUGCGUGGAGCCGACCUUGAAAUACCACCCUUUAAUGUUUGAUGUUCUAACGUGGACCCGUAAUCCGGGUUGCGGACAGUGUCUGGUGGGUAGUUUGACUGGGGCGGUCUCCUCCUAAAGAGUAACGGAGGAGCACGAAGGUUGGCUAAUCCUGGUCGGACAUCAGGAGGUUAGUGCAAUGGCAUAAGCCAGCUUGACUGCGAGCGUGACGGCGCGAGCAGGUGCGAAAGCAGGUCAUAGUGAUCCGGUGGUUCUGAAUGGAAGGGCCAUCGCUCAACGGAUAAAAGGUACUCCGGGGAUAACAGGCUGAUACCGCCCAAGAGUUCAUAUCGACGGCGGUGUUUGGCACCUCGAUGUCGGCUCAUCACAUCCUGGGGCUGAAGUAGGUCCCAAGGGUAUGGCUGUUCGCCAUUUAAAGUGGUACGCGAGCUGGGUUUAGAACGUCGUGAGACAGUUCGGUCCCUAUCUGCCGUGGGCGCUGGAGAACUGAGGGGGGCUGCUCCUAGUACGAGAGGACCGGAGUGGACGCAUCACUGGUGUUCGGGUUGUCAUGCCAAUGGCACUGCCCGGUAGCUAAAUGCGGAAGAGAUAAGUGCUGAAAGCAUCUAAGCACGAAACUUGCCCCGAGAUGAGUUCU